GACGAACGCUGGCGGCGUGCUUAACACAUGCAAGUCGAACGGAAAGGCCCUGCUUUUGUGGGGUGCUCGAGUGGCGAACGGGUGAGUAACACGUGAGUAACCUGCCCUUGACUUUGGGAUAACUUCAGGAAACUGGGGCUAAUACCGGAUAGGAGCUCCUGCUGCAUGGUGGGGGUUGGAAAGUUUCGGCGGUUGGGGAUGGACUCGCGGCUUAUCAGCUUGUUGGUGGGGUAGUGGCUUACCAAGGCUUUGACGGGUAGCCGGCAUGGGAGGGUGACCGGCCACAAUGGUACUGAGAUACGGCGCAGACUGCUACAGGAGGCAGCAGUGGGGAAUAUUGCACAAUGGGCGGAAGCCUGAUGCAGCGGCGCCGCGUGCGGGAUGACGGCCUUCGGGUUGUGAACCGCUUUCGCCUGUGACGAAGCGUGAGUGACGGUAAUGGGUGAAGAAGCACCGGCUAACUACGUG
rnacentral:rRNA from 1 species